rnacentral:rRNA from 1 species
GACGAACGCUGGCGGUGCGCCUAACACAUGCAAGUCGAACGGUGAAGCGGGCUUCGGCCCGUGGAUCAGUGGCGAACGGGUGCGUAACACGUGGGCAACCUGCCCCUCACUCUGGGAUAACUCCGGGAAACCGGGGCUAAUACCGGAUACUCCGGCCGAACCGCAUGGUUCAGCCGGGAAAGGUCCGCUGGUGAGGGAUGGGCCCGCGGCCUAUCAGCUAGUUGGUGGGGUAACGGUCUACCAAGGCGACGACGGGUAGCUGGUCUGAGAGGACGACCAGCCACACUGGGACUGAGAUACGGCCCAGACUCCUACGGGAGGCAGCAGUGGGGAAUCUUGCGCAAUGGGCGAAAGCCUGACGCAGCGACACCGCGUGAGGGACGAAGGCCUUCGGGUUGUAAACCUCUUUCGGCAGGGACGAAGCGAUCGUGACGGUACCUGCAGAAGAAGCUCCGGCUAACUACGUGCCAGCCGCCGCCGUAAUAC